CAGUCCAGAUAUGCAGUGUUGUCAGAUAAAACAAAAGUGCAUGUUGUACUCUUGGUCUAUUUUAAGACUUAAAUGAAAACCGUGCUUUGAAAAAUUGUUUCUGAACUGUAAUACAAUUGCAGAUAUAUUUGUCUUGCAGUGCUGAGCUCCUGAUUUUAUUUAUUCAAGUGAAAUACAUUUACAUUUUCAAAUCUAAUUACGCAUAGGGAGAUCUGUUCCUCAGCUAUAUUGAAACGAUUCAGGAAGAGGUUGCUGCAGGGUCUUUAUCUUUUGUGGGCCGUCCUUGAACUGCUUCGGGAGAAAUAAUACGAGUGGGCAAAGCUAUGUUAACAUUUGCUUGCCUGUUGCUAAUAGGAAACAGUGCACCACGCAGGUCUCAGAACUAACUGUCCACUUGAAAUAGUUCUGCCUAGUUAAAAAUUCCUUUAUGAAUAAUAAAUCACAGAGAUAAUGGUUUUUAUGACCAGCCCAUAAAACAUACUGUGUUGUUGAUUCUUUAUAUAUAUGAAAAUCCUACAGUCGUGUUGUAGACCUCUGCUUUUGGUUUGUCUGCUUGUUUUAAGUGGGCUUUAAAAACAAAGGCUUAUUUUGUAGUCCUGUUGUCUCAUUCAGUGAAAAAAUAGUAACUAAUCAAAAUACAGAUGAACUUCACUUCAGGUGAAUGGGAAAUGGCAGAGGCGUAUGAGUAGUUAUACUGAGGAGUGGAUAUGAAACAAGCUUAGUAAUGUCGAUGAUGAGAAACGUGUUACUUCAUGAAACUGUUUAAUAAAGUUAUGUAGAAAUAAUGCUAAAAUAGUGUUGAGUAUUCUUGUAAACUAAGUCGACUGGGAGAUGUCAGAACAGGUCAGUAUUUCUUUUGUGGAGGCAAAGCUGGAUGCCCAUCAGCUUUCAAUUGGAAAGCAAAAGUAGCUGAAUGUGUUUGUGAGCUUCCUUCAUGUUGCUUUCAGUUAUGGAUACUGUGUUACUGACCUCUUAACUGCAGUAAGCAAGCAGAUGAGAAAGUUAGAUAGUCUGUCCAAUGCUUCUGUAUAAAAUACCUUUAAAAACAUACUGUGCCUCUCCCAUAGGAGAUGAGAAGAGAAUUCAACUUUUGGUGAUAUUGCUGCCCUUGACACUGUAGGACUUAUUGACAGAUUUGUAUCAUUUCUUCUUCCUUUCAGCAGGUAAAAACAAAAUAUGCCAGUGAGCAACUUUGAAGACUCAGCCUCUACUCUGAUGGUUUUAUGUUUUAAGGUUCCUUCUUGACUCAGGAGAUCCGCUGGAGGGCCUUUUUGCAUUGCUGCAGUUCUGACUGUGCACCAGAUGCAGUUUAGUGAAGCUGCCGUAGCCUCCUUCAGGUGUAGGUGCCCCUAACAUUGCUCCUCUUAUCCGGUAUCUGUUGACCUCGGAGGUAUUUAUGAGUGGCUCUGGUUAGUUUGGUCCAAGUGACAGUUUUUAGAAGUUGGGGAUAGACAAUGGAGAGAUCUCUGUAAAGGGGUUGUGGCUGUUCUUCCCUGCAUGAAAUUGUAAGAUAUUUCUUUCCUUCUUUCUGUAAAGCAUCACAGUUAAUUACUGUACAGACUGGAGAGGAAAAAGCUUAUUUCUUAGUGAAGUGUAGCACUGGCAUCUCCUGGUGUGAGUUUCAGAAGGAAUAUUGGGAUUGCCAAUCUCCUCUGUUUGCUGAGGACAAAAGAAUAUCAUCUGUCUGUUUCAGUUUUGAAACCCAAGUAUGUUAGUGGAGGUGCUAAGUGCAGAUAAGGCAGUUGGUGUCCAGUUCUGAAUCACAUCCAGACAAGCUCCCUUAUGUGAAUGGGGAACCAGAGUUUCACCCAGUUCUUACCACUUGUAAUACAAACAGAGAUGUUGACCUGCUUGCUUUCCUUGGAGAGCUGAAUUCUUCCCACAGGCGAUCUGCUGGGCUUUGGGGCAGGUAGCUAAAAGCUGUGAAGGAGCAAGGAGCAGUAAGCAAUAGUCUGUGGAGAGUUCAGGAAUCACCGUGGGGAGGAAGCUGUAAUUGGAUGAGUGAGGACAGCAAAAUAAGGAAGUCCAGCUCCGAGAGGUGAGGGAAUCAUUGUUCUAAAGACAAAAGAGAAGGUGGAGUUGCUAUUUGCUGGCAGGAGUGGAAGAGGAGUUGCAGGGCAUGGUACCUUGUGGUACCAGCAGUACAGCCCUGCAUGCUCUGUGCUGAGAUGAAUAUUUCAGCUCCUAAAAUUUUCUCUUCCACCUUCUUCCGGUAAAGUGAAUACGUUUUCUACGUUUACUCUGUAGAAAAAGUUGAUCAUAUAAACAUAGAUGCUUAGAGAGGUUACAGAUAGAAGGUUAUAGCUGAAGAAAAAGGGUGAUUUCAAACUUGUUUGGUCCCCAACUUCAUUUUUUUCCCCUCCAGGGUGUGUUUUGUGAUAAUUUUCAGCAGUUUGAAUAUUUUUUUAAGUUCCAUGUCAUAAUACUAUAGAAGAAAGCAGGUAGAGAUAACAAGAAAUUGAUUGACUUAAGGACUAUGUUGGGCCUGAAAUAAGGAAAAUAAAUGUGGGAUUCCCUGUUGUGAAGGCAAUGAAAGCAGUUUCCCAGAGCAGUGUUUUGCACAGUGGUCCCUGUAGGUCAGACUUUGACUGUCAGAGCACCAUUUAUGAGAGGUGGUUUUUGGAGUAGUUGGCCCACAGAAGGUCUACAAACAAGUUAGACUGCAGGUAACCAGAAGUAGCACACUGAGGCUUUCCUGGAAGAAAUCUGUUAUUUUUAAUCCUGGAUGCAAUGUUGUAGAACUCUAUUUUUUCUCUGUUAUCCUUUUCCUGAUCCCCGCCAUCUAUCAUUUACUUCACACUACUGGAGGAGGAGCUCAUAGUACACAAGAAAUCAAUGGGCAAUUCAUCUAAUUUAUCUGACUUUUUUUUCUCGGUAGACCUUUUAAAAGAAGUUGGCAUUAUGGCAGAAUGUGCCUUGGAAAAAACUACAGGGUACUGCUGGCCUGCUGACAGAUGGCCUUGUCGCAUCCUCAAGGCGAUGCACAUCCAGCUUCUCUGUGAAGGAUAAGACACUGAAGUGGUUUGAGGUUUUCUUGAAGCAGCACAUCCAGAGUGCAGUGACACAGUAUGCCACCACAGUGACACAGUAUGCCACCAGAGCUCUGUUACAGGGAGUCCUACAAGGAGUAAUUUUUAUUUCCGCUAUAAUCAUCUGCCUGAUAACUGGCUAAAGUGUUUGAUGAUGUUUGAACUAAUGGUAGUGUUACUUCUCUUUUGUCACAUCUGGGGUUUAAUCCAGAGUGUUUGAACACACUUCUUGAGAAAUGCAAGUUAUUUAGUUUUCAGUCUCUAGCUUUCAGUCUCUUUACAUCUUUGCUCAACACUGUGCUUUCUACGUGAGAGAAUAUUAUGGUUUUGACUUUGUCCUCAAGGCAUAAAAUGUUCUGAACUCAAGACAGUCUGAAAUUUCUGGAUGAGGCCUCUCCUUCAGCAGCAGGAGCAUUCUAAUUAAGCAAGGAGAGUUGAUCUGCAAGUUAAUAGGGGUUGGAAAUUUUAUUUUCUAGUGUAGCAUAGGAUUGAAAUGAAUUUCCAUUAAACAUCAUUAUGGUCUUUCCUUUCUAGACCAGCUGCCAAGUGCACUUCCUGUAGCAAGAUAGAAAAGAACAUACGUGGUCAAAUAAAGAAACUAAAAAUUUCCAGAUAGGAGAGGGGAUAAAUUGUGAAAGUUAGUAGUUAGAGCAAUUGGUACAGAAAUACAGUGAGGUACUCUGACCGAUGUAGUUGCACUAAAGCCUUUUUGGAAUAAAACACGGUAGCUUGUUGCAUUUAGACUAAUUUACUGUGCCAUAUUUUGGUAUACAUAAUGUAGGAAUCUUGGAUCCUGAUGUGCGCAUGAGGAAGCCUUCUGAGAUUAGCAUCUUCCUAAUACAGUGCACAAAAAUGUAAUCUGUUCAUCCACUUCUGCAGAUACCAGAACUGUUUUACAGUAAAAAUAAAGCAGUUUUGCAUUGAAGUCCAUCUCAAAGCGCAAGCAAGUUGCUGCUCUGCAGCAUUUGGCAGCUCUCAAAUAUGACUUGAAUGUAGAGUUAAGUAACAGUUCUUCUUUCUGUAGAGAGACUGUGUCUUGCAACUGUGUGUGGACGGAAGAGGGGAAUUAAAAACCUGUACCUCCCGUUUCUCUGGGAAGAACAUUCUGGAUAUUCUCUUAGUGAAGCAGCCUCUCCUGACUCUGCUGUUCUCCUCUGCCUUCCCAAUGAUGAAUAAAAGAGAGAGCAGAUGAGCAUAAAUGUUUAACAUAGACGAAAUGUAAUUAAUCAGGAAAAUUAGUAGAGUAUGCUAGCAUUGGUUACAAUAUAUUAGUGUUGCAUACAAUUGUCUGUCAGUCUCAGAUGCAUGAGGCUAUCUAAUUGCACUUCUCAUUUUUUGUUUCCCCUGACUUAAUUGCUUAAAGGAUACCAGGUCAUAGCCACUAACAUUAAUCUUCUACAUAAGCAAUUCCUGUAAUUGCGAUAGGAGAUUGCUUAUGGAAUUUAGCAAGGUGUGAAAAUACUCUGUUACUGUGAUUGAGGUGGGAGUGUAGCUGGCUGGAAAUUCCUUAAUGAAAUGUCAUGUCAUGAGAUGCUGAUUGACGCCAAAAUGUAUGGGAAAGAAUUACCAAUUAAAUAAUUUCUUUAGUUGGGUGUGGAAGUUCUGACUGCAGGGAG
rnacentral:lncRNA from 1 species